rnacentral:rRNA from 1 species
ACACGACUACAUUAGAUACCCGGGUAGUCCCAGCCCUAAACGAUGCGCGUUAGGUGUAUCGGUGACCACGAGGCACCGAGGUGCCGAAGGGAAACCGUGAAACGUGCCGCCUGGGGAGUACGGUCGCAAGGCUGAAACUUAAAGGAAUUGGCGGGGAGCACCACAAGAGGUGGAGGCUGCGGUUCAAUUGGACUCAACGCCGGAAAACUCAUCGGGAGCGACAGCAGUAUGAUUGCCAGGUUGAUGACCUUGCUUGACAAGCUG